rnacentral:lncRNA from 1 species
CAUGACUCAUGAGUGUUGUCACAUCUCUGUAAUUUGGGUUUAUGAUGAUACUCUAUACUAUUUAUUGUAGCUUUAUUAGAUCUCAACCUGUGGAAGUAAUCUAAUACAAACGACACUUGUAUGGAAUUUUCAGGACAUGUUUCUAAGAUCACAGAGGAUACGAUACUCUCUAGGUUUGAGGACUAGCUCCAGUUACGCUUUUGGGUCCAGUGAAUGUAUGAUACCCAUUAUGUGGUCCAAAAAGAAUGAGAUUUGACGGACGCUCUAGUGGCCAAAUUCAUAUGGCUACCUUCACUCUAUGCCUUAAGAGCUGAAAAGUUUCCGUGGUUUCGAAUACUUUGCUUCUUUCAGAUUAACGAAAACCCUAUUUAGUUGCAAAGACUGAGAAGAGAAUAAGAGUCGAGGGACCAUAUAAAGCUUGUAAUUGUACGUUUAUGCGGAUUCUCCACUUUCCAUGGCUGUGAGAAACUAUCUGAGGAAAAGUGCAGUGACCUUUGGCAAAAGAUCACUGAAUAAAUUUUCUGGUGGUCUGAGAACUCGCUGCAGUGAAUGAAUGAGAUCCAUGUAAGUGGCCCCAAAAGAACAUAAUUUACAACACUCUGGUAGGUAAAUUCAUGUGGAUACUAAAACUGACUCAUUUAUGGCUAAAAAGUAUUGAUUUGGUACAUGAAUUCAUCAGCUUAACCGUUGAAGUGGGAAGCUAUCCUAGUGGUAAAUAAGUUGAUCUCUGGCCCUUUCCAGGUGGCAAAAAGUGAAGGCUUUACAGUGUCACCCUUUUUCUUUUGGUUGCGUCGUUAUUCUUUAGUGCCAGUAUAUACCUUGGAAAAAGUGAGCUAUUAUUCUAAAAGAUAGACCAAGAAAUAGAUUUCUCACACUGAAUAUCUUUGUUCAUUUGGAUGGUCCAUAGGCAUUGACAUAUUCUGCUAGUAGUGGUUGUGAGUGAUAGAAUCUUGUUAUCCGAGACAACCUCGUGGGAAUGGAUUUAGCACCAAUGCUAAUCACUAAUCAGUACAAGAAUAUGCGUUGAUGUAAUUGUACCUAUUAGCAUUGUUCACUCAGGAUUCUUGGUUAUUUGUUACCUGACUAUUCAGUGUGUGAUUUUAUUGGAGUUUUACAUGUUUACACUUGUCUCUGUAAUCUACUUUUGGUAUAAAAUCAUAUUGAGUACAACUUUCUUUUCUCAGGGAUGUGCGAAAUUGUCUUUGGGGCGGCAUAAGUGGAAUCAUUUAUCUUCUACGUGAUAAAGUGAUGUGGAAAGUGUCACCAAGAAAGGAAUCAUUAACUUUGAACUUAGGCAAGGUGAGUUACGUGUUGACUGUUCUUGGUACAGCUAGCUAUACUAAUGCAUAUCUCUUUGUAGCAUCAGUUUGAAUUUAGACUGUAGGGCAGUAUUUCAUAGAUAAGAGGACUUCUACCAAGUGGGCAAAAUUUGUAUUAACUUACAGCAGCUAAGUAUGAGUGUAUAUCUAAUUAACUCGUACUAGUUAGGCAAAACUAGUAAACUACAGACCCUAUAUGCAUAAAACCGUGGUAAUAACUUGCAGGAAUUUCAAACCAGAAGUAAUUUACAAGCAUGCAGUCUAGUUUUGCCAUAGCAGCAUCAGAAUGAUGGAACAAUUCCAUAUCCGGUGUCAAAUGUUAUCAUUGUGGAGAAAGCUUGGUUUGCCUCUUCAUCGACAUCUUUCUUCUUUGCAAACCGGCCCUUGAUCCGACUCUAGCUUCUCUGUCCCUUGGACUGAGCAUCUGAGCUGGAGGGUAAGGUGGUUGGUCUGUUACCGCUUUGGGCGAUCUUGGGUUUGAUACUGUUGCGUCACUCGUUGUUGACUCCGGCACAACUCCCAGGUCCAUAGAUGAAACAUUCACCUAAUGACAGUAACAAAGACAUUCUUAGAAAUUUACUUCAUGGAUUUGUGUGAAAGAAGCAGCAUGCUGGUCAUAGUAACGGAUCUGAAUUAAAUAUAUGAAAGCUUACCAUAUGACUGAGGGAACCAUUGGAGCUUCGAAGAGCUCCCCAGGAGCCACAGUUGAUACUCAGCUGAAAGUUCUGUUGCUCUUGGUACAUGCCCUUUGAUACUUCAAUUUGAAGUGGAACAACUCCAUCUUCCCCAUAGCUCCUCUGAGGUACGUUGCAGUCUAGUUGAUACUGAUUGGAUUGAUCUGUGAAUUGCUUAUCACUCGAACUAUAAUCAACAAGGUUCAGAAACUCAUCCCCAAUCGAGAAGCCAUUGUUGUUACCACUGUUUUUCCCUGAAUUAGGCAACAACCAUGAAGCCGCCUCUGCUUCAUCUUCAUCCUCUUCUUCUUGACCAAGCACAAGUCUGUUCUCUGGAUCUGUCACUGUUGUCUCACAUGAAUGGUUAGUGGCCGUGGAACUGUAAGAGUACUCAGAAAUGGGCAGAAUUGGAACUCGUUGAUGGCGUCUAGCAAGUGGGUUUGCGGAAUGAAUCUCUGAAUCACAGGUUGUGCAUAGAGAUGCAGCAUCUGCCUUGCAGAAAAAGGCAGCCGGGGCUCGCUCACAUGAUUGACAGACUCGAACACGUUCAUGGCGGGAAGCAAGACGAUUGGCAGCAUGAACUUGAGCAUCACAACUGGAGCACAAGUAGGCAGAAUCAGCCCGGCAGUACACGGUGCAGGCGGCUGAUCGGCAUGUAUCACAGGCUUGUGCCCAGUUACUCUCUACUUUCAACAUACUAACCGCAGAUGUUGUAGUUGUUUGAUGGUGAGUGAGAUCGUAUGUAAAGGCAGCAGGGGACUAAGAAGGCUAUAUUAGUUGUUGAAUGGAAAUGGAAAGGAAGGAUAGAAUUCUGAGGGCUGGACACGUGGCGAGAAGUUUGUGGGUUUGAUGUUGAGUGAUCAUCUUGUGGCUGGCUGAGUUUUUGAGAAGGGGUCCAGUGCAGAGAUGCUUACAGCUUUGGAAUCAUCAACCAGCACGAAAUGUGAAAGAAAGAAAAAAACUAAUUGUCUUCUUAUAUCUUUGCAAUGGCACCAAUAGUUACUACUUUUUCUCUCUUUCUUCCUCAAUAAGUGUAAACACCUCUUCCUAUGUAAUCUUCUAUAGGACCCAUCCACAUGUUACCUAGGUUCUGAAACGUGCAACUUCUAACUAUUUUUGUAUCAUCUACUACUAUUUUGGUAAAG